CAGUUGAAAAAAAAAAAAAAAGGGUUGAGGGUUGAGUCUGUCAGACAACCGUGUGACCAUCUCGGUCAGUUGAACUAGGCCGAGAACGAUCAUCUACAGCUGUAGAUGAUGCACACAUCAUCCUAGCCGUUAAUCACGCUCUGAUCACACAGUCAUGAUUCAUCCACCAGACGUAUGUUCCUGUCUCCUUUGAAAUCAAGGACACAGUAGUACGAUCCUAUAGAACAGAUCCUGUUCAAGUAAGGUCGUGCUUAAAUAAGCUGAGUUUCAGGUAUAUAAACAAUUAAAAGUUUUUGUUAUUAAGCGAUGUGGGACUAAAUUUGUGGUUUUUGUUCUAACUCUUGUUUUAUGGGAUUUAUUUUAUAUACAAUGCUUUCAAGAUUCUGUAACAAAACAAAAGCAGUUCUGGUCGUGCUACCGUUUCAAGAAGCUUGGGCCUAUUUUCAGCUUUUCAUGAUUGAUAAGAUUUUAUAACUAACAUUAAUGAAUAUCUUUCCUUUCCAGUGCUGUUUAGUGGUAGUUAGCAGUGGCUAAUACUUUAGUGCAUGUUUGAAUUGACACUGAACUAGGUGAAAUCACCGCGAGCCACCAUGAUUUUGGAAAAAGGUGCAGCAUCAACGAAAUCACGGUGCCACCGUGAUUUCGUCAAAUACACCAUGAUACUGUCCAAAAGAUUGUUUUUGAUACAACAGUGCAUGCAUAACCAGUUGACCAGCAUCAGUACACUAAGAUAAAGUCACAUUGUCUUCAUUCUGUUGGAAGGGGCUUUGCUUUAUCCUAUUUAUGGUGAAGGAGAACCAACACAAGCUUUCUGCCGUCAUACUGCUGUCAAAGGUCACAUUUAUAUAAAAGGUAAACCAUACCACCACUUAUAAAGGGGUACCAUUUUCACCAUCCAUCAAUUACAGCGACAGCCUUAUAGACAUUGGAGUCUCUCCUUUCAAUGGCUUCACCUAUGAUCAUAUAUGCGGAACAAAAGUUGGUGGAACCAUUUUUCGACAGAGUUAAACAUAUACUUACUGUUUUAGUCCAUUCUACUGUCCAAAAGAUUGUUAUGAUACAGCAGAUUGGUCAAAGUCAUGAUGUAAGCCAUUUGAUCUUCAUCAAUGGCUUAGAUAGUCUGACUGCGAAGACAAUAGGAUAUUCUGACUAUUGAGAAUCCAAAUUUUAAAGUUGUGGAAAAAGAGUUCCCUGCAAUUAGUUAUCUCAAUUGUUUAUAUAGAUUGAAUGAUUGAGAUUUCAAGUUUCUGAUUGGUCAAAGUCAUGAUGUGAGUCAUUCGAUAUCUAUCAACAAAAUACAUGAUUUUGAUAACAUUCUGAGGUGCAACACAAAUAGUAAAAAGCAUUCAGAGUUCUACAAUGCCUUGAUAAGUAAGGUUUGGAGUUGAGGUUUAGAACUUUCACAACUGUGACCUUGAUAAGUAAGGUUUGGAGUUGGAGUUAAAACCAUCGUAACAGAUUUGUUUGAUAGCGUGAGGAUUUGGAAACAAAAUACAAAUCUGCAUUUGUGUCAUUUCAAAGCAGCAUUCAUAAUCUCUGUAUGUCCAGUGUUUGAAAAAUGUAUUUGCCAAGUGCAACAAUAUAAAUUAUACAAUGAAGUGUACUAUGUUCUUUAAAAAAGUUAAAUUACCUUCUUAUGCAAUGAAGAGUACUAUCUCGUUUUAUGUUUCA